rnacentral:rRNA from 1 species
CCUACGGGAGGCAGCAGUGAGGAAUAUUGGUCAAUGGACGAGAGUCUGAACAAGCCAAGUAGCGUGAAGGAUGACUGCCCUAUGGGUUGUAAACUUCUUUUAUAUGGGAAUAAAAUGUUCCACGUGUGGGAUUUUGUAUGUACCAUAUGAAUAAGGAUCGGCUAACUCCGUGCCAGCAGCCGCGGUAAUACGGAGGAUCCGAGCGUUAUCCGGAUUUAUUGGGUUUAAAGGGAGCGUAGGUGGAUUGUUAAGUCAGUUGUGAAAGUUUGCGGCUCAACCGUAAAAUUGCAGUUGAAACUGGCAGUCUUGAGUACAGUAGAGGUGGGCGGAAUUCGUGGUGUAGCGGUGAAAUGCUUAGAUAUCACGAAGAACUCCGAUUGCGAAGGCAGUUCACUGGACUGCAACUGACACUGAGGCUCGAAAGUGUGGGUAUCAAACAGGAUUAGAUACCCCUGUAGUC